rnacentral:rRNA from 1 species
GACGAACGCUGGCGGCGUGCUUAACACAUGCAAGUCGAACGGAGCGAAUGAAAGCUUGCUUUUAUAAGCUUAGUGGCAAACGGGUGAGUAACACGUAGGCAACCUGCCGACAGGAUGGGGACAACAUUCCGAAAGGAAUGCUAAUACCGAAUGAAGCGGAGGAGAGGCAUCUCCCCUCCGUGAAAGAUGGCCUCUUUUUAUGCUAUCACCUGUCGAUGGGCCUGCGUCUGAUUAGCUGGUAGGUGAGGUAACGGCUCACCUAGGCGACGAUCAGUAGCCGGUCUGAGAGGAUGAACGGCCACAUUGGGACUGAGACACGGCCCAGACUCCUACGGGAGGCAGCAGUGGGGAAUCUUCCGCAAUGGGCGCAAGCCUGACGGAGCAACGCCGCGUGAGUGAAGAAGGUCUUCGGAUCGUAAAGCUCUGUUGAUGGGGACGAACGUGCCUAAUGCGAAUAGUUUUAGGCAAGACGGUAC